rnacentral:lncRNA from 1 species
GGUGGUCUUCGAUUGAUCUGUCGGCGCAUGCCAUCGAAUUCUUUGCCUGUGAGGCUUCGUUGAUGGUUCGCGAGAGUUGCUGGAUUCGGACGCUCCGCCAUUCACCACGCUCGAAGUCUAAGCAUUCGCGCGCAUUCCCUGCUUCGAUUAUUGAUCCCCGUAGCGGUGGCGCUUUUCCGUUGCCUGUGUCUGCAACAUCUUUUCUCCGUUCUGAAUGAGAGAGGAACGUUGCGUGCAGGUCAUUUUCUUUCUUAUCUGUGCUUUGCGUUGCCUACGACAAUUUGCAUCUCUCAGCUCUCAGCGACAGGAAAUGGCAGCGAAUCCGCCUCGGAUCCACGAUGGCGGCUUGUCGAGGACGGAGUCACGACGACGACGGGAGGGGGCCCGCCGGGCCCACGCGCCAACCGCCGAUGAUUUGUGUUUUCGGUGGGGCUCGACGUGGCGGUGACGCCGCUACCACCAUCGUCUGGGCUUUGACUCGGAGAUGACGCGGAGCCAACUCCUGCGACGUCGAAAGAGUCAACACCGUCAGAACAUUUACAGACGUUGAACUCACUAAUUUUGUUGUUGAAUUGUACGUCAAAUUAAAUUAUGAUGCACUAAAUCCAAUGCUUGUAUGAUAAUAUAUCAAAUGCAAAAUCUUUGUAGCCACAUAUGUCAGGGCAUCAGCUGUGUACAAUUGGGUUGUGAUGUUUUGAUCAGCUACGCUGACAGGUAGGGGAGGGAAUAUUGCAUUCCAAGAAUCCAUGAUGAAUUGGUUGCUAAGCUCUCACAGUCAUGGCCAGCUCACAUAGCAGUCGCACGGCAAAUGGAGACAAUAGCAAGG